CCUACGGGCGGCAGCAGUGAGGAAUAUUGGUCAAUGGACGAGAGUCUGAACCAGCCAAGUCGCGUGAAGGAUGACUGCCCUAUGGGUUGUAAACUUCUUUUAUAUGGGAAUAAAAUGUUCCACGUGUGGGAUUUUGUAUGUACCAUAUGAAUAAGGAUCGGCUAACUCCGUGCCAGCAGCCGCGGUAAUACGGAGGAUCCGAGCGUUAUCCGGAUUUAUUGGGUUUAAAGGGAGCGUAGGUGGAUUGUUAAGUCAGUUGUGAAAGUUUGCGGCUCAACCGUAAAAUUGCAGUUGAAACUGGCAGUCUUGAGUACAGUAGAGGUGAGCGGAAUGCGUGGUGUAGCGGUGAAAUGCUUAGAUAUCACGAAGAACUCCGAUUGCGAAGGCAGUUCACUGGACUGCAACUGACACUGAGGCUCGAAAGUGUGGGUAUCAAACAGGAUUAGAUACCCCUGUAGUC
rnacentral:rRNA from 1 species